rnacentral:rRNA from 1 species
UACGUAGGGUGCGAGCGUUGUCCGGAUUUAUUGGGCGUAAAGAGCUCGUAGGCGGUCUGUCGCGUCGAUUGUGAAAACUCGGGGCUCAACCCCGGGCCUGCAGUCGAUACGGGCAGACUAGAGUGUGGUAGGGGAGACUGGAAUUCCUGGUGUAGCGGUGAAAUGCGCAGAUAUCAGGAGGAACACCGGUGGCGAAGGCGGGUCUCUGGGACGGUAUUGACGCUGAGACGCGAAAGCGUGGGGAGCGAACAGG